rnacentral:rRNA from 1 species
AUUGAGGCUAAUACAAGAUAGGGAAUUGGUACUGGAAUGUCCUUUUCCUCAAAGCGCAAGCGCGAGAGGAUGAGUCGGCGGCUGAUUAGGUUGUUGGUGAGGUAACGGCUCACCAAGCCUGAGAUCAGUACGGGCCUUGAGAGAGGUAGCCCGGAGAAGGACACUGAGAAAAGGGUCCUAGCCCUAAGGGGUGCAGCAGGCGGGAAACCUUUACACUACGCGAAAGCGUGAUAGGGGAACCCCCAGUGCUCGCUUUCAGUGAGCUUUUGUCAAGUGUAAACAGCUUGACGAAUAAGUGGUGGGCAAGACCGGUGCCAGCAGCCGCGGUAACCCCGGCGCCACAAGUGGUAGUCACUUUUAUUGGGCCUAAAGCGUCCGUAGCCGAUCACGGCAGUCCUUUGUUAAAUCGUCGCGCUCAACGCAACGACUGCGAAGGAUACUCCAUGGUUAGGGACUGGGAGGAGGCAGAGGUAUUCCUUGGGUAGCGGUAAAAUGCGAUAAUCCUUGGGAGACCACCAAUGGCGAAGGCAUCUGCCUAGAACAGAUCCGACGGUCAGGGACGAAAGCUAGGGGCGCAAAAGGGAUUAGAUACCCCUGUAGUCCUAGCUGUAAACGCUGCCAACUA